UACGAACUGUGCAAACGUUAUUCGGAAUCACUGGGCUUACAGGGUGCGUAGGCGGCUUGUUAAGUAGGGUGUGAAAGCCCCCGGCUCAACCGGGGAAUUGCGCCCUAAACUGGCGAGCUGGAGUGAGAUAGGGGUGUGUGGAACUUCAGGUGGAGCGGUGAAAUGUGUUGAUAUCGGAAGGAACGCCGGUGGCGAAAGCGACACACUGGAUCUUGUCUGACGCUGAGGCACGAAAGCCAGGGGAGCGAACGGG
rnacentral:rRNA from 1 species